GAUGAACGCUGGCGGCGUGCCUAAUACAUGCAAGUCGAGCGAACAGACGAGGAGCUUGCUCCUCUGACGUUAGCGGCGGACGGGUGAGUAACACGUGGAUAACCUACCUAUAAGACUGGGAUAACUUCGGGAAACCGGAGCUAAUACCGGAUAAUAUAUUGAACCGCAUGGUUCAAUAGUGAAAGACGGUUUUGCUGUCACUUAUAGAUGGAUCCGCGCCGCAUUAGCUAGUUGGUAAGGUAACGGCUUACCAAGGCGACGAUGCGUAGCCGACCUGAGAGGGGGAUCGCCAACCGUAGAUGGGAAACCGGUCCCGCACUCCACGGGGGGGCACCAGAGGGAAAUUUUCCGAAAGGGGGGAAAGCCGAAGGGACAACCCCGGGGGGAUGAAUAAAGUUUUCGGUAUCUAAAAACUCUGUUUUGGGGAAAAAAAAAAUGUGAAAGAAACUAUGCACGUCUGAGGGGUACCUAAUAGGAAGACCACGGCAAACUAGGGC
rnacentral:rRNA from 1 species